UACGUAGGGGGCAAGCGUUGUCCGGAUUUAUUGGGCGUAAAGAGCGUGUAGGCGGUCAGGUAGGUCCGUUGUGAAAACUCGAGGCUCAACCUCGAGACGCCGAUGGAAACCAUCUGACUAGAGUCCGGAAGAGGAGAGUGGAAUUCCUGGUGUAGCGGUGAAAUGCGCAGAUAUCAGGAGGAACACCAGCGGCGAAGGCGGCGCUCUGGGCCGGUACUGACACUGAGGAGCGAAAGCGUGGGUAGCAAACAGG
rnacentral:rRNA from 1 species